AGUCAAAUAUUCAUGAUCAUUUUACCACACAAUUUAAUAUCAUUUUAAUUUAAGCAGUAAAUUUAAAUUACCCAGCAUACAACACUGCUGUUACAAACACUUGUUAAUCCGGAAGUCAGUGGAUGACAGCAGAUUGAUUAAUUGUGAACAUACUUAUUUUCACAAGUGGGAAAUGAUAGCUAAAGGAAAGUAUCAUUUUGGUACUCACUGGGUAUGGGAAAUGGUACAGAUGAUAGUGAACGGCAAGACGGAAUACUACUCGAAAGCUUAAGAAUAUUGUACAAUGGAAUUCUAUUUACCAGAUGAAUAUAGUGAUUUACAGAGGCCAAGAAUAUUCAACUCUCAUUUUACCCCAAAAUGUUUACCAAAACAAGCGUUUGAAAAAAGGGUAAAAUGAUCAUUAUUGAACAAAACCGAAAGAUAUUCUUACAUCCCAGUAUCACCACUGGAAACUUUUAUUCCCUCAGAUCGCACUUCCAUGGUCAGACUUUCUAAAAAGUGUAUAUACAAAUGAUCGAAAUAUCCAUUCCAAUUGGUUCUUUUACCAAAAAAAAUGGUCUGAUUUCUUGGCAUCAAGUAACAACCCAUGCCUUGUAUUGAGACAUGAAGACAUAAAACAG